AGAGUUUGAUCCUGGCUCAGGAUGAACGCUAGCGGCAGGCCUAAUACAUGCAAGUCGAACGGUGUAGCAAUACAUAGUGGCGCACGGGUGCGUAACACGUAUGCAACCUUCCUUAUACUGGGGGAUAGCCUUUGGAAACGGAGAUUAAUACCCCAUAGUACAUUUGAUUGGCAUCAAUUAAAUGUUAAAGAUUUAUCGGUAUAAGCUGGGCAUGCGUCCAAUUAGUCAGUUGGUGAGGUAAUGGCUCACCAAGACUUUGAUUGGUAGGGGAACCGAGAGGUUAAUCCCCCACACUGGCACUGAGAUACGGGCCAGACUCCUGCGGGAGGCAGCAGUAGGGAAUAUUGGGCAAUGGAGGCAACCCUGACCCGGCCAUGCCGCGUGCAGGAAGAAGGCGUUAUGCGUUGUAAACUGCUUUUAUAUAGGAAGAAAUAGUCCUUGCGAGGAAAGUUGACGGUACUAUAUGAAUAAGCACCGGCUAACUCCGUGCCAGCAGCCGCGGUAAUA
rnacentral:rRNA from 1 species